UAAUUAAAAAAACAGUUGUUUAAGAUUAUUCGUAUAUUGUUUCUAAAAUCUUUGCUUAUGAGCAAAAUUAUUAGUAUAGAAGAUUAGAAAGAGAAAUCAACUGAUUUGAUAAAGGCAGUCAGCUGGUUAAGAGGCAUAAAGUUUCUAGCAUGAAAAAUAAAUGUACUGAAAAAUUGUCUAAGGAUGUCAAACCUCCUGCACCCAAAAUUGUAUGUUCGGCAGACUCAGUAAUGUUACAUCCUUCGCAAUUAUCAGCGGAAGAGACUUUAAUCGUUUUGAAGUAUACCUCGUCAUAAGUGUGAUUACUUAUAACUCUAUCAAGUAUUUUAAAUUCCCAUGUUGCAAAUUUUCCGGUAAAUUUUUUCUCUUGCUAAAAGAUGAUACUCGUCUUUCUAUUCUUUUCAGGAGUGAAAAAUAAAUUUAAGUCCAUCGUGCCAGCAGACAGAAUAAAUUUUAAUUUACAUACAAACCUAACAAAAUUGGAAACCAGGCGUACAGAAUAUUUAAUGUGUACAUGUUUGGUAAUCAUCACAUGGAUUCAACGGAACGCAUGUUAAACACGCCAAAUAAUGCGCAAUAGGUGGUUUAGAGUAUAAAAAGGAACAUAAGACGCAAAUGCUUGUUUGGCAUAUUCAUAUUUAAUAGAGCAUCAAACGAUAACUAUUGAGUUUAAUCAAACAAGUUUUUCCACAACCAAGCCUUGCAGCAUCUACUAUCAUAAAUUAUAUAGUAAUAAUGGAAAGGUGAACCUGGCUGUGAAAAACUACAUCAUAUAUACAAAAUCCUUUGUUGGGAGAAACAACAAGUUUCCGGACUACCUAAUAUAAAGCGCCCAAUCUGGGAAGUAACUUGCAAACAACCACCCAGGGUAUGUGCCGUUUACAUGCAGGCACGAUGGUGAUCAAUUUUGCGCUAUUUCGCCGUUAAUGAUCGGACCAAUUGCAUCAUAUCUUCUGCUUCCCAAAUUACUUUGAGAAAUUAAAAGCGUAUUAGAAACUCGACGACAUCAACUCAUAAGUACGCACCAGAAACGUAGCGUUGUUUUUCUGAUGAAUCAUUCGAAAGAUGUCCCUGAUAGGUGUGAGACAGCAUUCAUCAAAAAGAAGUGAUGAAAGCGUAAAAGUUAUGGAACGGCCGCAGAUUUGACUUUAUCGUAACGAUUCUUACCUACUCAGCUACUUCGGUGGAUUUCGUAGGCGUGUUCGGAGGGCCCAGGCAGAUCACCUCAUUCGCCUUAUAGGGAAACCGCAACUGAUUACAAAUCUACAAAUACCAUACAACCACACAUGCAUAGAUAUAUAGACUUACCAAUAGGAUCUUAUUUGCAGUUGGAACUAAUGAGUUAUGUAUGCAAACAUUUGACCAGAACAAUAGUAAACAAUUAGAUGUGUUCUGCAUUCUACAACAAAACAUGGAUCGUUUAAAAACGAACAGUAAGCGGCGGUUUCUCUUACUGGUCUACAGCCUUACCCGCACAUUGUCAUCUUCCCGAAGGAUUAAAAAAAUUGGUUACUCCACUGUUAGCCGGAUUACUUGAAGAGAAUCGCGAGAAAACUUGGUCUUUUGACCGUUUCUUUCAAGAGGUUACAAACAUUUGUCGUAAGCGAGUAAUACAUGCAUUUUAUACGAACCGGACCACUUCGGUGGAAAUCUUCUUAGAACCUGAAGAAUUAAUUGAACAUUUUCGCGAGAGAAUUUUAAUGCAGACUAAAGUUCCAAUGGAAAGGCAGAUACUAUUAUUCAAUAACGAACAUUUAGAAAAAAAGUUACUCCCCACACCAUUGGUAAAUAUAACAAUAACAAUGUAAGUUAAAAGAACUUAUUAUUUAUUCCUUUCCUAGCUAAGGCAUUUUCAGCGACGUACACGGAAAAUCCGAUAAUCCUUUGCAGCAACGAUGAAAAUACAUUUGCCCAAAAGUAUCAACAAGUC